GAGCUUGAAGCAAACGACAUGAUAGUUUCAGCUGCCAUAACAACUCCAUCACACUUAUAUAUGUAGUAUUUUGACAUGUUGCAUGAAAAGAAAUUGAUUUUAUUAUUGAAUUAGCAGGGAAAGUUUGCAUUUUUCUUUUUUUUUUAGGGUUAGGCUAGUUUCUAAUUUCUGAAACAAUAAUUUUCCCUAGUUUAACGGUAUAAUCCAGUGGUCUAGUA
rnacentral:lncRNA from 1 species